AUGCAAGUCGAACGAUGAUCCCUGGGCUUGCUGGGGGGAUUAGUGGCGAACGGGUGAGUAACACGUGAGUAACCUGCCCUUGACUCUGGGAUAAGCCUGGGAAACUGGGUCUAAUACCGGAUACGACCAUCUGGCGCAUGUCAUGGUGGUGGAAAGCUUUUGUGGUUUUGGAUGGACUCGCGGCCUAUCAGCUUGUUGGUGGGGUAAUGGCCUACCAAGGCGACGACGGGUAGCCGGCCUGAGAGGGUGACCGGCCACACUGGGACUGAGACACGGCCCAGACUCCUACGGGAGGCAGCAGUGGGGAAUAUUGCACAAUGGGCGCAAGCCUGAUGCAGCGACGCCGCGUGAGGGAUGACGGCCUUCGGGUUGUAAACCUCUUUCAGUAGGGAAGAAGCGAAAGUGACGGUACCUGCAGAAGAAGCGCCGGCUAACUACGUGCCAGCAGCCGCGGUAAUACGUAGGGCGCAAGCGUUAUCCGGAAUUAUUGGGCGUAAAGAGCUCGUAGGCGGUUUGUCGCGUCUGCUGUGAAAGACCGGGGCUCAACUCCGGUUCUGCAGUGGGUACGGGCAGACUAGAGUGCAGUAGGGGAGACUGGAAUUCCUGGUGUAGCGGUGAAAUGCGCAGAUAUCAGGAGGAACACCGAUGGCGAAGGCAGGUCUCUGGGCUGUAACUGACGCUGAGGAGCGAAAGCAUGGGGAGCGAACAGGAUUAGAUACCCUGGUAGUCCAUGCCGUAAACGUUGGGCACUAGGUGUGGGGGACAUUCCACGUUUUCCGCGCCGUAGCUAACGCAUUAAGUGCCCCGCCUGGGGAGUACGGCCGCAAGGCUAAAACUCAAAGGAAUUGACGGGGGCCCGCACAAGCGGCGGAGCAUGCGGAUUAAUUCGAUGCAACGCGAAGAACCUUACCAAGGCUUGACAUGAACCGGAAAGACCUGGAAAACAGGUGCCCCGCUUGCGGUCGGUUUACAGG
rnacentral:rRNA from 1 species